AGAUAGAAGCAAUUGCAGACAGACCAGAACACGCAUUUGGGGUGGACACUGGAUUCAAGGGCCUGCAAGGCAUCGUUGACAAGCUCGCGUCAAGGUUUUGUCUUGAAGUUACAUCUGCGCGUGCUACCAGUUCGUGUUUAGGAGAGCCCUACGAAGUGAUCAUUACUGGAAAAGGCUUCCAUAAUGCAAAGAGAGUCCAGGAUGUUUUUUGCAGAUUCAAGAAAA